rnacentral:rRNA from 1 species
GGACUACCGGGGUAUCUAAUCCCGUUUGCUCCCCUAGCUUUCGCGCCACAGCGUCAGUCACAGGCCAGGACGCCGCCUUCGCCACUGGUGUUCCUCCGGGUCUCUACGCAUUUCACCGCUACUCCCGGAGUUCCACGUCCCUCUCCUGCACUCUACAAGCACAGCCGUUACCCAUGACCCUCCCCAGUUGAGCCGGGGGCUUUCACACAGGUCGUGCUGCGCCGCCUACGCGCGCUUUACGCCCAGUAAUUCCGGACAACGCUCGCCUCCUACGUAUUACCGCGGCUGCUGGCAC